AUUGAACGCUGGCGGAAUGCUUUACACAUGCAAGUCGAACGGCAGCACGGGGGCAGCCCUGGUGGCGAGUGGCGAACGGGUGAGUAAUACAUCGGAACGUGCCCGGUCGUGGGGGAUGACGUAGCGAAAGUUACGCUAAUACCGCAUACGAUCUGAGGAUGAAAGCGGGGGACCUUCGGGCCUCGCGCGAUCGGAGCGGCCGAUGUCAGAUUAGGUAGUUGGUGGGGUAAAGGCCUACCAAGCCGACGAUCUGUAGCUGGUCUGAGAGGACGACCAGCCACACUGGGACUGAGACACGGCCCAGACUCCUACGGGAGGCAGCAGUGGGGAAUUUUGGACAAUGGGCGCAAGCCUGAUCCAGCCAUGCCGCGUGCAGGACGAAGGCCUUCGGGUUGUAAACUGCUUUUGUACGGAACGAAAAGGCUCUGGCUAAUACCUGGGGCUCAUGACGGUACCGUAAGAAUAAGCACCGGCUAACUACGUG
rnacentral:rRNA from 1 species